GCAUGCGCACUUGCAAUCUUUACAUAUACUUGUUUACGAAUGUCGUAUGAAACAAGUUAGCAAACACUUUGUUUGUUGAUAUUUUGAUUUUUUGCUAAGUUCUUUCACCACAAAGCACAUUCAUAAUUUUACCUAGUAUGAGUUUAUUUUCCACUUGCUCAUGCUACUUGUUCUGUGUACCGUUUUGCACUUGUUUUUAGGCGCGUGUAUACUUUUCCCGCUUGUUUAAACGGUUGCCAUGAUGAAUCAUCAGGGACUCUUCGUAAUAAACUUGUCGGAUUCCUCAUUUAUGGCGUGAAGAACUCUUUAGCAUAAAUCUCUCACUAUUGAAACUUAAGUUUUCUACUAAUAUCAAUUGCCAAUAUUCAGGGGUGUUGUAGAAUCUGAUAGUUGUCGGAAUCAGAAUUGAAACCAAUAAAAAAAUGUAGUAGAUGUCAUGAAUUCAGAUAUUAUUGGUUUGACGUUCGAAACAGAAAUUGUAUCGGUUUUGGGUUUCACAGAGACCAAUUUUAUUGGGUUCGUUAUCAGAAACGAAGCAAGAGGAUAGUCGCUGACAUAUUUGAAAUGGGAAAACAUAACAAUAAAAUACAAUAUGUCAUAAUUAUUGAGUUUAUGAAAAAAUAUAAAUAUUUUAAGAGGAUUUACAAAACGUAAUUUAACACCCUAAUGUGUCUCUCUCAGUCGAUAAUGUGAUAUAAAUCUAAAAGUAAAGUUCAAUUUUAACGUUGCUUUUUUUCUUUCAAUAAAAUAAAAGCUAAUAGCGGAACUCGUUGUAAACUUUAAUAGACUCUAUUCAGUAUUUUAAAUUUAUCAAGCGCUUUCAAUUUUAUUCAUAACAUUCUCUGGUGGGACGCACUCGCAGUGGCAGUGUAAUGGCAGCGAAUAUAAAACAAUUGUCACAAUGAUAAAAAAAUUAAAAAAUGUACAGAGGCAUUGAAUUGACAGUGUUUUACGCGAAGAGCUCUUACAGUAUCCACCGGAGAACGUGAAUUUGCGUAAUCAUCUUGGACAAUUUCCAAGCGUUGUACCAAAAUGAAACAUGACAUGAUAAAAGGUUAUUGGUGACGCUGUAUAUGGAAUGGCUAUGCAAAGAGGGAUAUAAACUCAUCAACUUUCCCUCGAAAAUUUUUUUAUAUUUUUAUUUGUAAAGUCGCAGAAAUAAACUUUUAAGAAUCGAAACUACCACGACGAUAUGCAACCGAUAGCAAAA